GGUUACUGCUAUCGGUGUUCGCCUAAGCCAUGCGAGUCAUAUGUUCGUAAGAACAUGGCGUACUGCUCAGUAACACGUGGAUAACCUGCCCUUGGGUCCGGCAUAACCCCGGGAAACUGGGGAUAAUUCCGGAUAACGCACAUAUGCUGGAAUGCUUUAUGCGUAAAAUGGAUUCGUCUGCCCAAGGAUGGGUCUGCGGCCUAUCAGGUAGUAGUGGGUGUAAUGUACCUACUAGCCUACGACGGGUACGGGUUGUGAGAGCAAGAGCCCGGAGAUGGAUUCUGAGACAUGAAUCCAGGCCCUACGGGGCGCAGCAGGCGCGAAAACUUUACAAUGCGGGAAACCGUGAUAAGGGGACACCGAGUGCCAGCAUCCUAUGCUGGCUGUCCGGGUGUGUAAAAUACACCUGUUAGCAAGGGCCGGGCAAGACCGGUGCCAGCCGCCGCGGUAACACCGGCGGCCCGAGUGGUGAUCGUGAUUAUUGGGUCUAAGGGGUCCGUAGCCGGUUUGGUCAGUCCUCCGGGAAAUCUGACAGCUUAACUGUUAGGCUUUCGGAGGAUACUGCCAGACUUGGAACCGGGAGAGGUAAGAGGUACUACAGGGGUAGGAGUGAAAUCUUGUAAUCCCUGUGGGACCACCUGUGGCGAAGGCGUCUUACCAGAACGGGUUCGACGGUGAGGGACGAAAGCUGGGGGCACGAACCGGAUUAGAUACCCGGGUAGUCCCAGCCGUAAACGAUGCUCGCUAGGUGUCAGGCAUGGCGCGACCGUGUCUGGUGCCGCAGGGAAGCCGUGAAGCGAGCCACCUGGGAAGUACGGCCGCAAGGCUGAAACUUAA
rnacentral:rRNA from 1 species